CCUACGGGAGGCUGCAGUGGGGAAUAUUGGGCAAUGGGCGCAAGCCUGACCCAGCCACGCCGCGUGAGGGAAGACGGCUUUCGGGUUGUUAACUUCUUUUUAGAGGGAAGAGCAGAAGACGGUACCUCUUGAUUCAGCCACGGCUAACUACGUUCCAGCAGCCGCGGGAAUACGUAGGUGGCCAGCGUUGUCCGGAUUUACUGGGUGUAAAGGGCGUUUAGCGGGGCGUACAAGUCAGAUGUGAAAUUCCGGGGCUCAACCCCGGACCUGCAUUUGAAACUGGUGGUCUUGAGUAUCGGAGAGGCAGGCGGAAUUCGUAGUGUAGCGGUGAAAUGCGUAGAUAUUAGGAGGAACACCAGUGGCGAAGGCAGCCUGCUGGACGACAACUGACGGUGAGGCGCGAAAGCGUGGGGAGCAAACAGGAUUAGAUACCCCUGUAGUC
rnacentral:rRNA from 1 species